CCCUAAUUCUGUCACUCACCCAUGCCAUACUCACACUAUCACACUCACUUUCUCUCUCACUGUCACACUCACCCCCAAUCCUGUCACACUCAUUCUCUGUCCCCCUUCCCCAUUUUACCCUGCCACACUCACCCUAUAACAUUAAAGGAACACUAUAGUCACCUAAUGAAGCCGCGCCCCCUAUUUCGUCAAAAUGACUAAAUAGGC